rnacentral:rRNA from 1 species
AUUGAACGCUGGCGGCAGGCCUAACACAUGCAAGUCGAACGAGUGGCGGACGGGUGAGUAAUGUCUGGGAAACUGCCCGAUGGAGGGGGAUAACUACUGGAAACGGUAGCUAAUACCGCAUACCAUCGGAUGUUCCCAGAUGGGAUUAGCUAGUAGGUGGGGUAACGGCUCACCUAGGCGACGACCCCUAGCUGGUCUGAGAGGAUGACAGGCAACACGGGAACUGAGAAACGGUCCAGACUCCGACGGGAGGCAGCAGUGGGGAAAAUGGCACAAUGGGCGAAAGCCUGAUGCAGCCAGGCCGCGGGUAUGAAGAAGGCCUUCGGGUUGUAAAGUACUUUCAGCGAGGAGGCGUUACUCGCAGAAGAAGCACCGGCUAACUCCGUGCCAGCAGCCGCGGUAAUAC